UUGGAGGGCAAGUCUGGUGCCAGCAGCCGCGGUAAUUCCAGCUCCAAUAGCGUAUAUUAAAGUUGUUGCAGUUAAAAAGCUCGUAGUUGAAUUUCGAGACCGGCUUACUGGUCGUGCUAUUGUACGUACUGGUAUAAUCGGUUUCUCCUUUCUGACGAACUAUAAUGCCAUUAAUUUGGUGUUUUAGGGAAUCAGGACUGUUACUUUGAAAAAAUUAGAGUGUUUAAAGCAGGCUCACGCUUGAAUACAUUAGCAUGGAAUAACGGAAUAGGACGUUUGAUUCUAUUUUGUUGGUUUCUAGGAUCGACGUAAUGAUUAAUAGGGAUAGUUGGGGGCAUUAGUAUUCAAUUGUCAGAGGUGAAAUUCUUGGAUUUAUUGAAGACUAACUACUGCGAAAGCAUUUGCCAAGGAUGUUUUCAUUAAUCAAGAACGAAAGUUAGGGGAUCGAAGACGAUCAGAUACCGUCGUAGUCUUAACCAUAAACUAUGCCGACUAGGGAUCGGAUGAUGUUAAUUUUAUAAUGACUCAUUCGGCGCCUUACGGGAAAC
rnacentral:rRNA from 1 species